rnacentral:rRNA from 1 species
UCACUUGUUUCUUUAAAUGAGGACUCGUAUCAACGGCAUCACGAGGAUCCUACUGUCUCCCCCCUCUAAUCGGUGAAACUGAUCUCUCCGUGAAGAAGCGGAGAUGUACAUAUAAGACGAGAAGACCCCAUGGAGCUUUAAACCCAACAACACCCGCCCCCCUCCAAAUCCUAUUAUUUACCCGGUGAUUGUUUGUUUGGUUUUAGGUUGGGGUGACCGCGGANUAUAAGAUAUCCUCCAUGAAAAAAA